CCAUUUAAAAAUGCUGAGAUUCGCCUCUUCCUUCUCCAGCAAAUCCUGAACUCCGUUUACCACCUCCUGCAAUUCCUAGACAUGAGGAAGUUGGAAGAAUACUCAGUAUCUGGAACACAAAGCAAGCACUUGAUAUUUGUUGAAUUCCUUUCCUGAGGGAUAUCUGGAGCACGAGGAUGCAAACAAGACACACAACCUAUUUAAAGUCUCUGUUCUCCUCACACCUCGCCAACAUUUUGAAAACCAGUGCAGGUCACAUGGAUAAGCCUAACAUCCAUGGGGGGUGGGACCUGAGGUUAUUCACACUGAGGCAGCUCAGCCCCUGCUCAGCUCCCGUGCCACAGGGAGGGCAGGAAUCCUGCCAGGAGGAGCACUUGGGUCCUCGCUCCUACCCACCCCUGGUGGACGCCAGCUGCCUGCACUGCCCGCAGAGGUGAGCCUGGUCCCCGCCCAGGAGAAUGAUGGGUUAAAAACCUAUAGGACGGUUCAAUCCAAGGCAUUGCUUUGCUGUGGCCUGUGCGCCAUUGUAUGUUGGAACACAUGCUGCUAGGAGACAAAGAGGACACACGUUUAUUUUCAAGCGUAGGACUUCGGAACCACUUGGGAAGAAUAUUCUUGAUUGAGAACCAAAACAUUCCAUGAUGCUUAACAAACCUGCAAAUUGAAAAAUCAGCAUCGGCCCGUGCAGCCCGGAGGCAGGAGAAGGACCUAUAUACCCUGAAACAUUUUUUUUUUUCUCUCCAAAUAUUCCUUAAAUGAUAUUUGUGUGCAUUUGCAAAAUUACUGCUUUCUGAAUCAAAGUGGCAAGCUAUUUGCCUCUGAGAACAUGUGUUGUGCCGUCAGACAAUACCUCAGCCCUGGGCCGCCCGCGACAUACCCGGCCGCAUCACAUAAUGGACAGUCCUGCGAAGGCGCCGCAGCUCAGUCAAUGCCUCUGUAAUAAUAUUUUAAAAUAAAUGAUAUGCAUCAUUAAAUCACCGAGGAUGACUAACUCAAUUUUAGAAAACCCACAACUCCAGCAAUCAUAGUUACAGCUCUGAUUUGAAUAUUUUCCCUUUCACCUGAGCAGCCAGUGGGAGCCAGCCGAGCAGGCAGGCAACCCGGCUGUACUCUCAGAGGGGCAGGAAGGAACCUGUGAUUAUGUAGUUACAGUAACGUCGGCGAGAAGCCUCCUGUCCGCCUGGGCUUUUUAGGCUUCUCCUUCCUCCCUUCUUGACUUCUUAUUUACAUAUCACAGGCAUCCUCUUUGUAAAGUUAUUUUAAAUAAUUUAUUAGAUUGAUCUUUUUAAAAUUCUACCCUGGCUAAAUGUCAUAAGGAAGAAGAAGGAAAAAAAAAAAAAGUCUUCGAAACUUAUUUAAAGGUUUCUACUGGAGCAGGCCGGUUACCUGCUUCACUGCUGAUAUUCUAAAAAUACCUCCAUGUCCGUACUAUUAUCCAUUCUUCACGUCCAAUUGCUCUGUUAUGGUAAUAGUCAGAAGCACACCAUGCAGUAAUUACUUACAGCUGACUGGAGAAAAGAAUAUUCAACUCCCCCACUGUUCCACUAGAAGGUCUUUAUGCACUAUUAACUCAUUCCUGUUUAUUAAUACUCUACUGGUA